UGAGGAAUAUUGGUCAAUGGGCGAGAGCCUGAACCAGCCAAGUAGCGUGCAGGAUGACGGCCCUAUGGGUUGUAAACUGCUUUUAUAUGGGAAUAAAGUGAGGGACGUGUCCCUUAUUGCAUGUACCAUACGAAUAAGGACCGGCUAAUUCCGUGCCAGCAGCCGCGGUAAUACGGAAGGUCCAGGCGUUAUCCGGAUUUAUUGGGUUUAAAGGGAGCGUAGGCUGUUUGUUAAGCGUGUUGGGAAAUGUAAGAGCUCAACUUUUAGAUUGCAGCGCGAACUGGCAGACUUGAGUGCGCACAACGUAGGCGGAAUUCAUGGUGUAGCGGUGAAAUGCUUAGAUAUCAUGACGAACUCCGAUUGCGAAGGCAGCUUACGGGAGCGCAACUGACGCUAAAGCUCGAAGGUGCGGGUAUCGAACAGG
rnacentral:rRNA from 1 species